CACGUAGGGGGCGAGCGUUGUCCGGAUUUAUUGGGCGUAAAGAGCUCGUAGGCGGCUCAGUAAGUCAGGUGUGAAAACUCCAGGCUCAACCUGGAGACGCCACCUGAUACUGCUGUGGCUAGAGUCCGGUAGGGGAGACUGGAAUUCCUGGUGUAGCGGUGAAAUGCGCAGAUAUCAGGAGGAACACCGGUGGCGAAGGCGGGUCUCUGGGCCGAAAUUGACGCUGAGGAGCGAAAGCGUGGGGAGCAAACAGG
rnacentral:rRNA from 1 species